GGAGAUGUGACUUAGUGGUUAAAAGCACUGGUUGCUCCUCCUGAAGACUGGGUUCAAUUCCCAGCAUCCACA
rnacentral:tRNA from 1 species